AUUUUAAAUUUUAGGUAAAUAUACACAGGUAAAAUAUAGAUAAUGACAAACAAUUUGCUAGUGUAGGACCCCAAGAAGGAGCCCCCCACUCAAGUCUCGGGAUGUGGGGUUACCCAAAGAAACACAAGAGACU
rnacentral:pre_miRNA from 7 species